rnacentral:rRNA from 1 species
GAUGAACGCUGGCGGCGUGCCUAAUACAUGCAAGUAGAACGCUGAAGGAGGAGCUUGCUCUUCUGGAUGAGUUGCGAACGGGUGAGUAACGCGUAGGUAACCUGCCUGGUAGCGGGGGAUAACUAUUGGAAACGAUAGCUAAUACCGCAUGACAACAGUUAUUGCAUGAUAACUGUUUAAAAGGGGCAACUGCUCCACUACCAGAUGGACCUGCGUUGUAUUAGCUAGUUGGUGAGGUAACGGCUCACCAAGGCGACGAUACAUAGCCGACCUGAGAGGGUGAUCGGCCACACUGGGACUGAGACACGGCCCAGACUCCUACGGGAGGCAGCAGUAGGGAAUCUUCGGCAAUGGACGGAAGUCUGACCGAGAAACGCCGAGUGAGUGAAGAAGGUUGUCGGAUCGUAAAGCUCGGUUGUAAGAGAAGAACGAGUGUGAGAGUGGAAAGUUCACACUGUGACGGUAUCUUACCAGAAAGAGACGGCUAACUACGUG